GCUGUGGCUCAGUGGCAGAGCACCUGCUUUGCAUGCACAAGGACCCCGGUUCAAUCCCCAGCCUAUGCA